AUGUUGUCUCCUGUACUGCUUUAAUCUCAGACUAGAUGAAGAGGCACUAGAGCUUUGAUAUUCGCAUUGUGGUUCUUGCAUAUAAUAAUGGACUCCUAAAGCAGCUGUCAGCCAUUUAGUAGAACAAGGAAGGAAACUGGACCUACAGAAACCACAUGUAUCAGUUGCCAAUGAUUACAAAUCUCAUAACCAGGAAUUAUCAUCACUUGAAAUGCUGAGCUAUUUUAUCCAAACCAGGUUGAUUGGUUUCAGUGUGCAGAUUUUCACAAACAUAAUACAGAAGUUAUCCUGUUUCUUCUGAAUAUACUUGUUUGGAGAAAUACUGAUUGAAUGAAUACUUAUUGGUGGCUCAAAUAAGUGGAGACCAUCCCUUCCAUGCACUUCCCCAGACCCCACUUGUGGGAUUUCCCGUGGCUUCUUCUUCUUCUUCUUGUUGUUGUUGUUGUCGUCGUCGUCGUCGUCGUCAUCCCUUCCAUGUACCAUUUGGGACACCGUAUAAUCAUGAACUAAACUAAACUCAAAUUUGUCAAUUUCUAAGGUAAACUAAGUUUAGGAUUCAACAACAUAUUAUGAAAUUGAUUUGCAUGAUAUAAGCUCUAAUUUGCCAUUACAGAAAUAAAAGGUUUAAUGUGAAGGGAAAAAAUUAACAAAGUAUGCACAAACUUAGCUAACUGCCAAAAAAAAAUAAAAUGAAAGAAGUUAUUUUGUUUGCUUGGUAAAUCUGCUUAUUUUUCAUGUUGAAUUUCUUUACUUUGGAGAUAUGUAACUGUUAUCUCUAAAACGUAUUCUUUUCUUAGAAAAUCUUGAGAUUCUGGCUCUUCAGUCAUCGUCAAAUUUUAAUUUGGUUUUCAUGUUUUGGUGUAACACCUUAUUUCAGUAUAAAAAGAGCAAGUUUCACACGAUUAAGAUAUAUUAGAAAUUUGUUUUAAAAGCACAAUUAUCUUUCUUUUUUCUGUUGUUCUAUUGGUUGGAAGCAUUGAAGAAAAUAAUUUCAACAUAACAUUUGCACAACCCCGUUCUUAUUUGCCCCGGCGAUGGAUGCACUAACACACCAUAUUCAAGGGGAGGUGCCAUGGUGUAUGUUGUUCGCGGAUGAUAUAGUUCUGAUUGAUGAGACGCGAGGCAACGUUAAUGAGAGACUGGAGGUAUGGAGGCAGGCCCUGGAGUCUAAAGGUUUCAAGUUGAGUAGGACUAAGACGGAAUAUCUGGAGUGUAAGUUCAGCGACGUGACUGGGGAAGCGGACGUGAAAGUAAUGCUUGAUUCACAAGUCAUCCCCAAGAGAGAAAGUUUCAAGUACCUAGGGUCAAUUAUCCAGGGGGAUGGGGAGAUCGACGAGGAUGUCACGCACCAUAUUGGGAUGGAGUGGAUGAAAUGGAGGUUAGCGUCUGAAGUCACGUGUGACAAGAAUGUGCCACCGAAAUCUAAAGGUAAGUUUUAUAGAGCGGUGGUUAGACCGACUAUAUUGUAUGAGGCUGAGGGUUGGCCAGUCAAGAUUUUACAUACCCAGAUGAUGAAAGUAGCAUAAAUGAGGAUGUUGAGAUGGAUGUGCGGGCACACUAGGCUGGAUAAGAUUAUGAAUGAAAAUAUUCAGGAGAGGGUGGGCAUGACUCCUAUGGACGACAAGAUGCGGGAAGCAAGGCUUAGAUAGUUCGGGCACGUGCGGGGGAGAAGCCUAGAUGCCCUGGUUAGGAAGUGUGAGCGGUCGGCUUUGACAGGUAUGAGAAGAGGUAGAGGGCGGCCUAAGAAAUAUUGGGGCGAGAUGAUCAAUCAAGACAUGGCGUGGCUUCAGAUUUCCAAGGCCAUGACUCUUGAUAAGAUGGUGUGGAGGUCGAGCAUUAGAGUUGUAGGUUAUGGGGCAGUCGAGCCCGUUUUUCCUCUUUGUACCAGAUAGUUUCAUAGUAUUUUGUCUAGGACUGCUAGUGACUUAUGUUGUGUUAUUGUGUUAUUGCCCUUCCAUUUAUUUGUUAUAUCUUACGUUGCUGAUAUUAUUAUUUUUUCUGGUUUUUGUUGUUGUUACAGAUCUAUUGUCUCUUUUCAUUUUCUUGAGCUAAGGGUCUUCCGGAAACAGCCUCUCUACCCCUCCGUGAUAGGGGUAAGAUCUGCGUACACUUUACUCUCCCCAAACCACACUAGUGAAAUUAUAUUGGGUUGUUGUUAUAACAUCUGCACAACAUAACACUAUCAUGUUUGGGGAUUAGAAAAGUAAUCCCUACAUAAUUUUUUCGGUGUUUGAUUGGCCGCAUGAGAAAAAGUAGUUCCCCCAGUCUUAUGUUGGUGUUAUUAAAUAAUACUCAUGUUAAGUUAAAAUGCACUUAAUAUAAGUAAUCUCGACUAAUAUCUUAAUUAUUAAUCACUAUAUAACGUUUUCUACCUUAUUAACAUUUUCCACAUUUCCCUAAAAUAUUAUUUAUUGAUAAAUAAUUUCUACAUUAUAAUACCGUAGCUAACAUGUGAAUCAAACGAAUCACUUAGGGGUCGUUUGUUAUGAUGGAUAAGCAAAAAUAAUUUUGAGAUAAAAAUUUAGUACCGCCUUAUCCCUUAUUUGGUUACUAAUUCUGGGAUAAGUUAUUCUAGGAUAAAAAUAAGUAACAGAAUAACUUAUAUCUGCCAAAGGGUGAAAUAGCAAUCUAGGAUGAGUUAUCCCAUGAUAAAACAGUAAAAUUAAUAAUCUCAUGAUUAAUACAACAUAUCAAACAGUCAAUAAAAAAAUUAUACCAGAUAACUUAUCUCAACAUGAUUAAUCCCAACAUAACUAAUCUACAACCCCUUAUAUCACAAGUUUACAAGUUUUAAUGGUAAGUGUUUUUACCUACUAAAUAAGGAGCCUCCAUGUGUAUUUUAUUCACUUGAUAUAAAGAGCCACAUGGACUAGAAAACGAUGCCGUUGAAGCCGUCCGGAACCAAAGUGUGGUUCUUUUGGACUCAAAGAACCAUAAUAUGUGAAAAAAAACUGGGUACCAUAAUAUAUAUAGCACAGUAUUUCACCGCGCUAUACCUUAACGUCACAUUUGUCCGUUAAGGUAUAGCGCGGUUCAAUACUGCGCUAUAAUUAAGUAUUGGGCCCACAAAUAAUCCUUCUGUGCUUAAAAGGCACAACAAUAAUUCAACUGGGUAUAACGCCCAUAUUUAAGGCGAUACUUAAGUAUUGGGCCCACAAAUAAUUGUUCUGGGCUUAAAUGAUACACCAAUAAUUCAACUGGGUAUAGCGCCCAUAUAUAAGGCGUUAUACCUCAAAUCAUUGUACCCCCCAGACUGGUUUUUUCCCUAUUCAAAGAGUUUCAGGAUUUUGUAAAAAUCCAUUCAGAAUCCUUCAAGUCUUGUGAAAUAUUUGUUCGUUAAAUAUUUGUUCGUUAAGUUAUUUUGCAUUUUGUCAUAAUGNGUGGUGGAGAAUAACUCAGUAUACUAUAGUUGUUCUCCACAGUGUCAUGUUAAGUUUUCACUUACAAUGAAAUACGAUACAUUGGUAUCGUUGUUAUGUAAAACAAUGAGUGUGAGAAAACGUUCGGUGAAUAUUAAAGUAACCAGAAGAUAUCUGUAGGCAGGGUGAUUGCAUAUGCGUCGCGAUAGUUGAAAAUUCACGAGAAGAAUUACCCUGUUCAUGACUUAGAAUUGGCAGCCAUUGUUCAUGCGCUGAAGAUUUUGAGGCAUUACCUUUACGGUCUCUGGUGUGAGGUAUUUACUGAUCAUCGUAGUCUACAGUAUCUGUUCAAACAAAAAGAUCUCGAUUUGAGGCAGAGAAGAUGGUUGGAGUUGUUGAAGGACUAUGAUAUCACCAUUUCGUAUCACCCCGGAAAGGCCAAUGUGGUGGCCGAUGCUUUAAGUAGAAAGGCUGUGAGUAUGGGCAGCCUUGCAUAUAUUCUGGUUGGUGAGAGGCCGUUAGCUACAAAUGUUUAGACUUUGGCCAAUCAAUUAGUGAGGUUAGAUGUUUCAGAACCCAGUCGGGUUCUAGCCUGCACAGUCACUCGGUCUUCUUUAUAUGAGCGCAUCAGAGAGCGACAAUAUGGUGAUCCUCAUUUGCUUGUCCUUAAGGACACGGUGCGGCACGGUGGUGCCAAGCAGGUUGAUGUGGGAGAUGAUGGAGUUCUGCGGAUGCAGGGUCGCAUUUGUGUUCCUAAUGUGGAUGAGCUUCGUGUAUUAAUUCUUGAAGAGGCCCAUAGUUCCCGGUAUUCUAAUCAUCCGGGUGCCGCCAAAAUGUAUCAAGAUUUGAGACAACAUUAUUGGUAGAGGAGAAUGAAAAAGGAUAUAGUUGCAUAUGUAGCUCGGUGUCAGAAUUGUCAGCAAGUUAAGUACGAGCAUCAGAGACCUGGUGGUUUGCUUCAGAAGUUAGAAAUUUCUGAGUGAAAGUGGGAGCGUAUCACUAUGGGUUUUGUUGUUGGACUCCCAUGAACUCAGAGAAAGUUUGACGUAGUAUGGGUCAUUAUGGACAGGUUGACCAAGUUAGCACAUUUCAUCCCAAUGGCAAUUACCUAUUCUUUAGAGCGGUUACCUGAGAUUUACAUCCGCGAGAUUGUCCGCCUUCAUGGUGUGUCCGUGUCUAUCAUUUCUGAUCGAGGUAUACAGUUCACCUCGCAUUUCUGGAGGGCUGUACAACGUGAGUUAGGCACGCGGGUUGAGUUGAGUACAACAUUUCAUCCAUAGACAGACGGACAGUCAGAGCGCACUAUUCAGAUAUUGGAAGAUAUGCUUCGCGCUUGUGUUAUAGAUUUUGGAGUUUCUUGGGAUCAGUUCUUGCCACUUGCGGCGUUUGCCUAUAAUAACAACUAUCAGUCGAGCAUUCAGAUGGCUCCAUAUGAAGUAUUAUACGGGAGACGGUGUCGUUCAGCAGUUAGAUGGUUUGAACCGGGAGAGGCUCGGUUGUUGGGUACCGAUUUGGUGUAGGAUACCUUGAAUAAGGUCAAGAUUAUUCAGGAUCGACUUUUCACAGCUCAGUUUAGGUAAAAGAGUUAUGCCGACCGUAAAGUUCGUGAUGUUGCAUUCAUGGUUGAAGAAAGAGUAUUGCUCCGGGUUUCACCCAUGAAGGGUGUAAUGAGAUUCGGAAAGAAGGGCAAGUUGAGCCCUAGGUAUAUAGGACCCUUUGAAAUUCUUGAAAGGGUGGGUGAAGUAGCUUACAGGCUUGCAUUACCACCUAGUUUAUCAGCAAUUCAUCCGGUGUUUCAUGUGUCCAUGCUUCGGAAAUAUCACGGUGAUCCGUCCCAUGUGUUAGACUUCAGCUCAGUCCAAUUGGACAAGGAUUUGACUUAUGAGGUGGAGCCGGUAGCUAUUCUAGCCCGGCUAGUUCGAUAAUUGAGAUCUAAGAAUUAUCCUUCAGUUCGGGUGCAAUGGAGAAGUCAGCCGAUUGAGGAAGCUACCUGGGAGUCCGAGUCGGACAUGCAGAGUAGAUAUCCACACCUAUUCACCAACUCAGGUAAUUUUCUAAUUCCGUUCGAGGACGAACGCUUGUUUUAAAGGUGGAGAAUGUGAUGACCCAAUAUGUCAUCUUUAAUUUUAAAUAUUCAUUUCUUUGUUCUGAGAACUCGAAAAGCACUAUUCAGUAUUUCUCGACUUGCGUGCGCAGUCCGUAAAUUUUUUCGGAAUGUUUUUAUAUGAAAAAUUAAUUAAAAUGUGAAAUAGAGUUUUAAAACUCAACUAAGUUGACUUCGGUCAACGUUUUGAGCCAACGGACCCGGAUAAGUAUUUUAACAGUUCCGGUAGAUCCGUAUCGUAAUUUGGGACUUGGGUGUAUGCCCGAAAUCGAAUUCGAAGGUCCCUAACUCAAAUUAUCGGCAUUUAACGGAAACUAGAAAUUUAAAGGCUUAAGAAUUCUUAAAUUUGGUCAUAAUUGGUUUUUUGUUGAUACCUGGUCCCGAUUUAGAUUUCGAGAGUUCGAUCAGUUUCGUAACAAUAUUUAUGACUUAUGUACAAAAUUUGAUGUUAUUCCGAGGUAUGUAGGCAUGUUUUCCGUUAGUUUUUGAAAAACAAAUAAUAAAAGGUUUGAUUUUAUAAAGUUUGAAUUUCUAAAGUUUGACUGGAGAUUUGACUUUUGAGCAAACGACCCCGAAAUAAAAUUUUGAUGAUUCCAAUAGUUUCGUAUGAUGAUUUCGGACUUAGGUUCAUGUUCGGAUUUGAAUUUGGAAGUCCGUAGGACAAUUCGGCACAUUUUGGCGAAAGUUGGAUAAUAAAAGAUUUUUGGAAAGUUUGACCGGGAGUUGACUUUAUUGAUAUCGGUGUCGUAAUUUGAUUCUGAAAAUUGGAACAGCUCUAUUAUGUCAUUUAUGACUUGCAUGCAAAAUUUGAGUUCAUUCCAAAUUGAUUUGGCAUAUUUCGGCGCGAGUUAUAGAAUUGAAAAUUUCAUAAACUCAUAAGUCCGAAUCGACGCGCGAUUUGUAAUUUCGCCAUUGUUAAUGGUUAUUUGAGACCUAGAGUAGGUCCAUAAUAUGUUUUGAGACUUGUUGGUGUAUCAGACGGGUUCCCGAGGGGCUCGGGUGAGUUUCAGGGUGGUUUCAGACCAUUUCUAGGCCAUUUUUAACUGUUGGUUUUUGGCUACAGCAGUGUGCUAUGCGAUAGCGGGUAAUUGGCCACGAUCGCGAUGAGUAAAAAAAUGCUAGAAAAAUUUUGUGCUUCUCAAUCGCGGGAGUUUGGCCGCGAUCGCAUAGGGUAAAUGAUUGGAUAACAGAACUUAAGUUCUGGAAAUGGGAUUUCGCUCCAUUUUUCAUUAUUCACGAUUUUGAGCUCGGGUAAAGCGAUUUUUGGGUGAUUUUUACGGAAAAAUAUUGGGGUAACUGUUCCUUAUCCUAUAUUGAUUAUAUUUCAUGAUUUCAUACUCAUUUACAUCAUGAAUCCGUGAAUUUAUGGAAGAAAAAUCAGAUUUUUAUAAAAUCUUCAAAAGAUGUCAAAUGAAGAUUUGAAGGUCAAUCCGAUGUCGAAAUUCGAUAAUUUUUGUAUGGUUGAACUCGUAUCGGAACAGGUGUUCGAAUUUAGUGAGUUUUUUCGGGAUUCGAGACGUGGGUCCUAAUGUUAAUAUUUAAAAUGAAUUUCGGAUUUUAAUCCGAAAAAAUUGUAAAUUCAUUUAAAAUUAAUUCCUACGAUUUGUGUUGAGUAUAUUGAAUUGUUUAUGACUAGAUUUGAAGCUUUUGGAUAUAAAUUCGCGAGGCAAAGAUUUAUUGGAAUCUUGAAUUUGAUUGCGAAGCGAGGUAAGUGUCGUGGUUAACCUUGACUUGAGGGAAUAGAACCCUUGAAUUAUUGUUACGUGAAUUUCAUGUGUAACGAUGUAUAGGCAAGGUGACGAGUGCCUAUACUUCGUGAAAUUGAUUGUUUGCAUAUUUAUAUAGAAAUCAUAAACUAUUUUCUUUAUCAUGAGUUAAUUAUUAUAUUAAUUGUUCUCUCAUAUUCCUUGUCAAAUAUUAAUUCUUGAAUUCAUGCAAUAAUUGUUACAUGCUUAUUUGAUUUAUGUGUCUUAAUUGUUACUUGACAUUUAGCAUAUUAAAUAUAAAAUUGCCUAUCUUCUCCUUGAUUUUCCACAAUUAAUUGCUACUUGUCAUUACUUGUAUCCUGAAUAAAUUAUAAUCAUUGUAUGCCUUGUUGCCUAAUAAUUUCUUAUUGAAUAUGGUAUUUAUUGGAGUAUUUUUAUUACAUUUAAGAGUUGUUAAUUUAUAUUGUUGGAGCGGGUUGCACGCCGCAACAUAGAUGAAAAUGAAUAUUAUUGGGGGAUCGGGUUGUACGCCGCAACAUAUUAUAUUUUAAGUUUAUAUUGUUGGAGUAGGUUGCACGCCGCAACAGAAAUUUAUUGAAGUAUUAUAUUGUUGGAACGAGUUGCACGCCGCAACAGAAUGAGAAAAAAAUUAAUUGAUGGUGACUGCUGAAAUGAUUUCAGUUAUUGAUAUGAUUUACCUGUCUCACUUCUCUCCCUGUUAUUAUUACUAUUAUUGUGUAGAAGUUAAUGUAAGCGACUUGCCAUAGCCUCGUCACUAUUUCGUCGAGGUUAGGCUCGGCACUUACAGAGUACAUGAGGUCGGUUGUACUCAUACUACACUCUGCACUUCUUGUGCAGAUUUUGGAGUUGGUCCCAGCGGCGUAACAUUGACUAGCUCGGAUUCAGCUAUCCAGAGGAGACUUGAGGUAUAACUGCACAUCGUCCGCAGUUCUGAAGUUCCUUUCUAUCUUAUCUUAGCUGUGUAUUAUCUUUCAAACAGCUUGAAUUUAAUUCAGACCUUUAUUUUAAUUAUUCUAGUAGCUCGUGCACUUGUGACACCAGAUUUGGGGAUGUAUUUGGAUGGUUCGUUUGUUAUGGUCUUCCGUACUUUAUUUCAAUAAUGAACUUCAGUUUAAUUUAAUUUGUUUAAAAAUGGUUAAAAUUAUUCUAACGUUGGCUUGCCUAACAAAUAAAAUGUUAGGCGUCAUCACGGUCCUGAAUAUGAGAAUUUCGGAUCGUGACAGCUAGUAAAUGUCGUGUGAUAUGUUAAGCGAUAAAAGUGAGAAUAGUUAAACUCUGGAGUUGGCAAACUGAUUCACAUGUUUAGGAAUCUCUGUAUGUAUGCCUAUUACCAGAGAGAAUCUCUGCACGACGCCACAAUGCACAGGUGACUUCUUCGUGUUUAUUACCUCCACUUUGCUUCCCCUUUCAAAUCUCAUGUUUUGUAUAACUCAGCUCAAACCCCAAAACCUUAUUAUUACAAAACCACAUUAUAACUACAACAUAUUAGUUGCUAGUACAGAACCAUAAUGAGAAUCAAAACUUCAAAUCAAAACUGGUAGUUUGAUAUUAUGCCUUGGAUUAAAUCUACAGAGAUAUUAUAUUAAAAACCAACAGCAUAUUAUCAUCAGUAAAUUUUAAGAUUUACAUUAAAAGACAUAGAAAAUUAACAAGUACUUAUUUAGAUGGUAGUAAUAGUUUAUUGAUUCAGGGUCUGAAUAGAUGAUCACGCACACACAGAAAAAAGGAUCUUUAACAAACAAAAAAGGAAUCUUUAAAAUAUUGCAAGCUUAAAAAAUUCAAAAAACCACCAAUUCCAUAAAUGUUGAAGUACCUAAAUAACAUUCAUAAAAAUUAUAACAAAAUAUAUUGUUUUGAUCAGUAAAAUAAAAUUUUAAAUAGAAAACUAGCUUAGGCACUGAGCAGAAUAUACAUAUACAACUGAAAAAAGAAACUUCUGAAAAAAACAAAAAAAUCUGAAAAGGAAAAAUAAAACACAACAAAUGAAUUUCAAGAAAUGAUCACAACAUACAAACAAAUUUAAACAAAAUUUGAAGUAAAUGAUAGGACAAUUAGGGAUUAAAAAAAUCGAAAAUAGGGAUCAAAUUACGGACCUUUUUUUAUUUUAAAUUGAAGCAAUUUUCCGGCUUAUGAAGACGUUGGUCAUAAAUUGAAUUGUUCCCUCGAGGAAUCAAAUGAGUUUUUCGGAUUUGAGUAAAUUGUAAUUUGUGUUCUAGGGUUUGGUUUUGGGGAAAAGAAUAUUCAAGAAAAUAUUCAAAAUAUAUAUUACGU
rnacentral:lncRNA from 1 species